CUUUAAGUUUCCAUGACAUAAAUAUCAGCUGACAUACACACAAGGUGACUCACCUUCUUCCCAUUAAACUAGGUUGAGAUUAAAAACAAACAAGCAAACAGCUGGAAUGUGGCACGUGGGUCAGACCCUUCUGAGUCCAGUUGGGUAACUCAGCAGAGAUCAGAAUGAUCUUCAAAAACCAACAAGCCAUUGGCACGUAUCUUCAGGCAUGCUUGAAGUCUAUGGGGCCAAAUGGUAGAGUAUCCUGGCAGAGCCAAAAAGUCUUCUUUUAUGACACAGAAAAGAAAACUUCUUUCAAAGUAGUUAUGCAACCCAGGAGAACACAAUGCAUCCACUGUGUGUGUCCUGGGGCUGUCUAUGAACACAUGAUUUCAUAUUUUUGUCCUCUGUAAACUUCAGCAUUGAUGAUGAACAUUAUUUCAAGGAAAUAUCCCACUACUUUAUCUCUGUAAAGACAUCCAUAGAGAAUGGGCCUUUUAGAAAAUCUCACACCACUUCCUAGUUGGAGCAAUUAAACAAUAGAGAAGAUGGGUAUUCUGGAGCAGAAUUUAAUGAAACAGAACUCCACCAUCUAUGGCAAGUUUGACUGCUUGAGUCUCCAGAGGAUAAUAGUUGGAGGCCACUGAGGCCCAAAUUCAUCAGUCCGGCCAUUGAAGGACACAAGUGAACAAAGGAGGACGGCAAAGACAGAACUGUGAUAUUCAAACACUCAAUAGCUCACAGUGUCGGGGUUCAUUAUGACACUUACUAAGCACAUGCCAUAUUUCUGACACUGUGCUAAGAGUUUCAUGAACAUUAACUAAAUUAACCCCAUAAAAACGCCAUUAGAAAGAUGCAGUUUUGUACCCCCUUACACAGAUGAAGAAAAUAAAGUAUAGAGACUUUAAGAAAUUUGCCAGAAGUCUUAUAACUGAUUGGUUUGCCAUGGCUCUUUGAAACAGUUACUCUUGUCCUCAUUGUAGAGAUGGCGAUACUAAGGCAGAAUAUGUUUCUCUUGCUCAUCGGACCAAAGUUUGGAAUCACGUCUCAUCUUCGUGUAUUUUGAAAAUCUAACAAAUCUAGAAGAUGGUGUGAAUGUGCAUAUAUUUAGACAAUUUAAAAUUUUGUCAAGGACAUGAAAGAAAGACAUGUUUUCUAACAAAACAGAAAAAAACAAAAAUAAGAACAGAAUGCUUUUAACAUUGCUUAAAGAACUACAGAACUAUGGUGGCAAAGUGAGUAUGUCAUACAAGGUAGGCUAUGUAAAUCUAUGUGUGAUAAUUGUGUACUAUUCAUUGAUAGGGGAUGUACUUUCUACUUAACACAUGUUCUCCUCCUAGAUACCUUACCUAUAGGUACAGAAGUAUCUAUUAUAUUGGUUUAGGCUGAUUCUAAGGGAUAUUUCUCUUAAUGUAAGCUGAAGCAGAGAGAAACUCUAUUGGCAGAUGCAAGUGACUUUUUUAACACAAUGAGUUACUGAAGGAUGGAUUCUUAAGCUAUGGAAUAUUGCUGAAAUCAAAGCUGCUAUAAUGCAGUUAUACUUUCAUAAGUCUGAAUAGAAAAAAAAGUCACAUCAUGGAAAAGAGAACUCAAUCAAAUAUCGGACUUCCACACUAUUUAUGUGUACUAUGUGUACUAUGUGUUCUUAAUAAAUAUUCUCAUAAAUACCUGCAAAA
rnacentral:lncRNA from 1 species